GCUGAUGUAGCUCAGUGGUAGAGCACUUCCUUGGUAAGGAAGAGGUCAUGAGUUCAAGCCUCAUCAUCAGCU
rnacentral:tRNA from 1 species